rnacentral:rRNA from 1 species
UACGGGGGGAGCAAGCGUUGUUCGGAUUUACUGGGCGUAAAGGGCGCGUAGGCGGCGUGACAAGUCACUUGUGAAAUCUCCGGGCUUAACUCGGAACGGUCAAGUGAUACUGUCGUGCUAGAGUACAGAAGGGGCAACUGGAAUUCUCGGUGUAGCGGUGAAAUGCGUACAUAUCGAGAGGAACACCUGCGGCGAAGGCGGGUUGCUGGGCUGAUACUGACGCUGAGGCGCGAAAGCCAGGGGAGCGAACGGG